rnacentral:rRNA from 1 species
UUCCGGUUGAUCCUGCCGGACCUGACUGCUAUCGGAUUGAUACUAAGCCAUGCGAGUCAUUGUAGCAAUACAAGGCAUACGGCUCAGUAACGCGUAGUCAACCUACCCUAUGGACGGGAAUAACCUCGGGAAACUGGGUAUAAUGCCCGAUAGAACAUUAUGCCUGGAAUGGUUUAUGUUCCAAAUGAUUUAUCGCCGUAGGAUGGGACUGCGGCCUAUCAGUUUGUUGGUGAGGUAAUGGCCCACCAAGACUAUUACAGGUACGGGCUCUGAGAGGAGUAGCCCGGAGAUGGGUACUGAGACACGGACCCAGGCCCUAUGGGGCGCAGCAGGCGAGAAAACUUUGCAAUGUGCGAAAGCACGACAAGGUUAAUCCGAGUGGUUUCUGCUAAAGGAACCUUUUGUUAGUCCUAAAAACACUAACGAAUAAGGGGUGGGCAAGUUCUGGUGUCAGCCGCCGCGGUAAAACCAGCACCUCAAGUGGUCAGGAUGAUUAUUGGGCCUAAAGCAUCCGUAGCCGGCCCUGUAAGUUUUCGGUUAAAUCUGUAUGCUCAACAUACAGGCCGCCGGGAAUACUGCAGGGCUAGGGAGUGGGAGAGGUAGACGGUACUCGGGAGGAAGUGGUAAAAUGCUUUGAUCUCUCGAUGACCACCUGUGGCGAAGGCGGUCUACCAGAACACGUCCGACGGUGAGGGAUGAAAGCUGGGGGAGCAAACCGGAUUAGAUACCCGGGUAGUCCCAGCCGUAAACUAUGCAAACUCAGUGAUGCAUUGGCUUGUGGCCAAUGCAGUGUUGCAGGGAAGCCGUUAAGUUUGCCGCCUGGGAAGUACGUACGCAAGUAUGAAACUUAAAGGAAUUGGCGGGGGAGCACCCCAAGGGGUGACCCCUGCGUUCAAUUGGAUUCAACGCCGG